UGAAAGUGGAUUACAGGAUUACAGGU
rnacentral:piRNA from 1 species